rnacentral:rRNA from 1 species
GCGAAGCCGCAGCCUGAUCAGCCUGUCAGCGUGAGUGAAGAAGGCCUUCGGGUUGUAAAGCUCUUUCGCAAGGGAAGAAACGUUACGAGCGAAUAACUCGUGAUAUGGACGGUACCUUGAUAAAAAGCACCGGCUAACUACGUGCCAGCAGCCGCGAUAUUA